CCCUUAUCCUGUACACUGUUCUAUGGUUGAGUACAAAGCCACUUAGGAACAGGAUGGAGAUGAUAUAGUAUUAGAGAUCUUUUUCUUCACCCAGUUCCUGAGCCUUGACUAACAAGCAUCUUAUCCUGAAGCAAAGCAUGUACCAAGCUCAGGCAGGAGAAAGCUAAUUUUUUAUAGCAAUCCCCAAAGCAUGGAAAAACAAACAGAUUUCUUGGUGUAGUAAUGCACAAAAACUGUGCUAAGAGGCAGUCACUCUUGGCAGCAUAAAAGGCCUGGUUGUCUGUAGAUGUUUGACCCUGAGGCCAUAUCAUGAAGCUUCUCUUUUGUUGUUUUGUUUUAUCUCUGCUAAAAUUUAUUGAAUUUUCCUUUCAAGCCACAAAAUCAGAACCUACUUAUUGUAACAAUAAAAAACAAAACCAUCACUAGAAAAUAAAGAAAAAACCAACAAUGCCCCUCUUCCUUGCAUUCCCUGGGCAAUCAGAGUAACCACCACAGCUAUUUCUGAAAUAUAUCAAAGCCUUCCACACAGCCUUGGAAGAGAAAAGGAGAAAUAGAAGUUGGAAGUCUUCAUUCAUCUUGAAUGGCGGAAUGCUCACGCUACAAAUUCUGAGGCACAGAGAAAAUGCAAAUCCUCUAUUUUGACCAUAAUUACUCUGCCUGACAAAAGAACUUCCUACUCCAUGGUCAGGAUGACUGAAUGUACUCUAUAGCAUAGUCUUCAUCCUAUUUGGUAAUCCUCACCCAUAUCUGUUGUCAGGAUAUCCCCUGGAUGACAGUGAUACAUCAGAGAUGAUAUAAAGAGGAUCCCAAAUCCAUGUGUACUCACUAGCCCCCAAGUAAACCAAACU